rnacentral:rRNA from 1 species
UACGGGGGGAGCAAGCGUUGUUCGGAUUUACUGGGCGUAAAGGGCGCGUAGGCGGCCACCGCAAGUCGGUUGUGAAAUCUCUGGGCUUAACCCAGAAAGGUCAACCGAUACUGCGGGGCUAGAGUGCAGAAGGGGCAACUGGAAUUCUCGGUGUAGCGGUGAAAUGCGUAGAUAUCGGGAGGAACACCGGUGGCGAAGGCGGCAUCCUGGACCAACACUGACGCUGAGGAGCGAAAGCCAGGGGAGCAAACGGG